AUUCGAUUAGAGUUUGAUCAUGGCUCAGAUUGAACGCUGGCGGCAGGCCUAACACAUGCAAGUCGAACGGUAACAGGAAACAGCUUGCUGUUUCGCUGACGAGUGGCGGACGGGUGAGUAAUGUCUGGGAAACUGCCUGAUGGAGGGGGAUAACUACUGGAAACGGUAGCUAAUACCGCAUAACGUCGCAAGACCAAAGAGGGGGACCCUCGGGCCUCUUGCCAUCGGAUGUGCCCAGAUGGGAUUAGCUUGUUGGUGGGGUAACGGCUCACCAAGGCGACGAUCCCUAGCUGGUCUGAGAGGAUGACCAGCCACACUGGAACUGAGACACGGUCCAGACUCCUACGGGAGGCAGCAGUGGGGAAUAUUGCACAAUGGGCGCAAGCCUGAUGCAGCCAUGCCGCGUGUAUGAAGAAGGCCUUCGGGUUGUAAAGUACUUUCAGCGGGGAGGAAGGGAGUAAAGUUAAUACCUUUGCUCAUUGACGUUACCCGCAGAAGAAGCACCGGCUAACUCCGUGCCAGCAGCCGCGGUAAUACGGAGGGUGCAAGCGUUAAUCGGAAUUACUGGGCGUAAAGCGCACGCAGGCGGUUUGUUAAGUCAGAUGUGAAAUCCCCGGGCUCAACCUGGGAACUGCAUCUGAUACUGGCAAGCUUGAGUCUCGUAGAGGGGGGUAGAAUUCCAGGUGUAGCGGUGAAAUGCGUAGAGAUCUGGAGGAAUACCGGUGGCGAAGGCGGCCCCCUGGACGAAGACUGACGCUCAGGUGCGAAAGCGUGGGGAGCAAACAGGAUUAGAUACCCUGGUAGUCCACGCCGUAAACGAUGUCGACUUGGAGGUUGUGCCCUUGAGGCGUGGCUUCCGGAGCUAACGCGUUAAGUCGACCGCCUGGGGAGUACGGCCGCAAGGUUAAAACUCAAAUGAAUUGACGGGGGCCCGCACAAGCGGUGGAGCAUGUGGUUUAAUUCGAUGCAACGCGAAGAACCUUACCUGGUCUUGACAUCCACGGAAGUUUUCAGAGAUGAGAAUGUGCCUUCGGGAACCGUGAGACAGGUGCUGCAUGGCUGUCGUCAGCUCGUGUUGUGAAAUGUUGGGUUAAGUCCCGCAACGAGCGCAACCCUUAUCCUUUGUUGCCAGCGGUCCGGCCGGGAACUCAAAGGAGACUGCCAGUGAUAAACUGGAGGAAGGUGGGGAUGACGUCAAGUCAUCAUGGCCCUUACGACCAGGGCUACACACGUGCUACAAUGGCGCAUACAAAGAGAAGCGACCUCGCGAGAGCAAGCGGACCUCAUAAAGUGCGUCGUAGUCCGGAUUGGAGUCUGCAACUCGACUCCAUGAAGUCGGAAUCGCUAGUAAUCGUGGAUCAGAAUGCCACGGUGAAUACGUUCCCGGCGCCCUUGUAG
rnacentral:rRNA from 1 species